UCUUCAUUGUUACCAGCCGACACACAACUGAUUUCCCUCCCAACCUUAUCUUCUUGUCUACACCCACAAAUGAAAAGUUGAGCUUCCAUCAAACACAGACCUCUUUCACAUUUGAGAAAAAAAAAAAAAAAACCCUAACCCCUCUACAAAAACUACAGCCGCACCCCUAUAACUUCCCCUCAUUUUGGUUUGUUCACUGCAUCUUGUUCUUGUAACACACAGCCAAACACCCCUUGUUCUCCCAUAAAUAUCCGGCCACGGAUCGGUGGCUCCGGCGCCGAUACCGACCGGCCACACCCCCUUCGACUCCCCUGCAUCUCCUACACACCCACCUUUCUUCCCCCUCCUUCGGUCUGUGUAACGGCCCACUGCCGUGAGCGGUUUCUCCGACAACCCCCCCUGUUAAUAAAAGUACGGCCACCACCACCACCGUCUGGUGGCGGCGGCGAUGGUACAACGAGAGAGAUGGAGGCGACAAGUUCAGAGAGAGAGAGAGAGUGAGUUCAAGAUAGAGAAAUCGUAGAGUUUGGAGGAGAGCCGCCGCCGUCGACGGCGGGGCGUGGCGGUGGUCGGAGUCGCUGCCCGACAGUUAGCACAGUUCAGUUUCAGUUACAGUUCAGCGGAUCAGAUGGGUUUGGGGUUCGGUCGAUAUCAGGCACGGGUCAAAGCUUGGUUCGGGUUACGUCUCACGUUUCGGCUCAGCAGGUUCGGAAGUUUUGGGUCUCAGCUGAGUGUGGUUCGGGUUUUCUGUUCGGGUCGCGUAUUGGGUUCGGGUCAGCCGCGGUCAACCACGGGUCGGUGGUUCGAGAGAUGGUUCAGUUUUGGUUCAGUCAAAACUGGUCAAAGCUCGGUCAAUCUGGUCAACAUCAAGUCAACUGCUCGGUUUCGGGUUUUGGACUCAGCUGGUUCGGGUCAACUGUGGUUUGGGUCAAGAUUCGGGUGCGGUCAACGGUUUUGGGACCGAGUCAACCCGGUCAAACCUGGUCAACUCGGUUGACUCGGUCGACUCGGUCAACUCAGUUAGCCUAUCCGACAAAUCGACGCGAAGGCUUUGGUAAAGAUUUUACCGGCCCGACUAUUUCGUAUUUUUAUAGUUUUAACUCAUUACAUGAAAACGAGCUCGAACCGAAAUAAAAUGAUGAAUCGAUAGUUAAAGUAUACUUUGAUUUAUUA